rnacentral:rRNA from 1 species
UUUGUAUAAUGGGUCAGCGACUUAUAUUCAGUGGCAAGGUUAACCAUCUAGGGGAGCCGUAGGGAAACCGAGUCUUAACUGGGCGUUCAGUCUCUGGAUAUAGACCCGAAACCAGGUGAUCUAGCCAUGGGCAGGUUGAAGGUUGAGUAACAUCAACUGGAGGACCGAACCGACUAAUGUUGAAAAAUUAGCGGAUGACUUGUGGCUAGGGGUGAAAGGCCAAUCAAACCUGGAGAUAGCUGGUUCUCCCCGAAAGCUAUUUAGGUAGCGCCUCGGACGAAUACUACUGGGGGUAGAGCACUGUUAAGGCUAGGGGGUCAUCCCGACUUACCAACCCUUUGCAAACUCCGAAUACCAGUAAGUACUAUCCGGGAGACACACGGCGGGUGCUAACGUCCGUCGUGGAGAGGGAAACAACCCAGACCGCCAGCUAAGGUCCCAAAUUACUACUAAGUGGGAAACGAUGUGGGAAGGCUCAGACAGCCAGGAUGUUGGCUUAGAAGCAGCCAUCAUUUAAAGAAAGCGUAAUAGCUCACUGGUCGAGUCGGCCUGCGCGGAAGAUGUAACGGGGCUAAGUAGUAAACCGAAGCUGCGGCAAUGCACUUUAGUGCAUUGGGUAGGGGAGCGUUCUGUAAGCGGUUGAAGGUGUGUGGUAACGCAUGCUGGACGUAUCAGAAGUGCGAAUGCUGACAUGAGUAACGAUAAAGGGGGUGAAAAACCUCCUCGCCGGAAGACCAAGGGUUCCUGUCCAACGUUAAUCGGGGCAGGGUAAGUCGACCCCUAAGGCGAGGCCGAAAGGCGUAGUCGAUGGGAAACGGGUUAAUAUUCCCGUACUUCUUACAAUUGCGAUGGGGGGACGGAGAAGGCUAGGUGGGCCUGGCGACGGUUGU